CGCCUUUUGACAUAUAUUAAUAAAAGGUCCUGCCUGCCCAGUGACUCUGUUUAACGGCCGCGGUAUUAUGACCGUGCAAAGGUAGCGUAAUCACUUGUCUUUUAAAUAAAGACUAGUAUGAACGGCAACACGAGAGUUCAACUGUCUCACUAAAUUAGUCAGUGAAAUUCAUCUUUCCGUGCAGAAGCGGAAAUAAACGUAUAAGACGAGAAGACCCUGUGGAGCUUUAAAUCAAAACUAACACUUAAUAGCAUUAUAGCAUUAGAUUUUAGGUUGGGGCGACCGUGAGGAAAAAUAAACCCUCAAAUAUAAACUAGAGAAACAUCUCUAACAAGCAGUAUACUAAAACAUUGACCCAAUAAUUGAUCAACGAACCAAGUUACCCCAGGGAUAACAGCGCAAUCCACUCACAGAGCCCAUAUCGACGAGCGGGUUUACGACCUCGAUGUUGGAUCAGGACCACCAAGUGGUGCAACAACUACUAAAGGUUCGUUUGUUCAACGAUUAAAGUCCU
rnacentral:rRNA from 1 species